UACGUAGGGUGCGAGCGUUGUCCGGAAUUAUUGGGCGUAAAGAGCUCGUAGGCGGUUUGUUGCGUCUAUCGUGAAAACCUGCAGCUUAACUGUGGGCCUGCGGCCGAUACGGGCAGACUUGAGUUCGGUAGGGGAGACUGGAAUUCCUGGUGUAGCGGUGAAAUGCGCAGAUAUCAGGAGGAACACCGGUGGCGAAGGCGGGUCUCUGGGCCGAUACUGACGCUGAGGAGCGAAAGCGUGGGGAGCGAACAGG
rnacentral:rRNA from 1 species